GUAUAUUAGCUUGAUGAUUACAUCAUUAAUAAUGGCCACAGUCUUGUAAACUGCGGAAAAGUUUGAGAGCUGUGAGCGGGAAAGUGGCAACUGAAGCUGAAUGUAAACUUAAAUAGUUUCAGAACCGGACAUAGAUCUUAGUAAUGACAACUAAUGAUUAAUAGUUAUGAGUUAGGCUAUGAAUAUAA